rnacentral:misc_RNA from 1 species
GAAAUGCGAUAAGUAAUGCGAAUUGCAGAAUUCAGUGAAUCAUCGAAUCUUUGAACGCACAUUGCGCCCGCUAGUAUUCUGGCGGGCAUGCCUGUCUGAGCGUCAUUUCAACCCUCAUUCCCGGCUUCGUGUCGGGGAUGGUGUUGGGGAUCGGCCUCCCGGUUGCGGGCGGCCGGCCCCGAAAUAGAGUGGCGACCACGCCGUAGCCUCCUCUGCGUAGUAGUGAAAACCUCGCAGGCGGAGAGCGGUGCGGCCUGCCGUAAAACCCCCAACUCUUCUAAGGUUGACCUCAGAUCAGGUAAGAAUACCCGCUGAACUUAAGC